ensembl:lncRNA
AGAAUUGUCAUUUUGGGGUGAUUUGGGUGAAAUGUCUCUUUAAGUGCAAAUAUUAGUCCAUUGCUUCCCCUUACAACACUGCACAUUGUCAAUUAUAGACCAGCAUAAAACAUGUUGUUCAGUAAUCUAUUCCCUACUAGCCAGUCUUGUAGCCUGUCUUAUAGCACGACAGUUAUCACUUCAUUUUCAGCUCUAAUGCAGUUGUUGUUUUUGGGUGCUGGUGUAAUCACCAGCUUGCCAUGUCCUUGCUUGACCAGAUCAUGGCAUUCAACAUGGACUCAACACUUUACCAUCUGUUGUCUCUUCUUUUUCCACUGCGCCUAAUUGCAUGCAUGCCUAACUCAUCAAGGACAUAAAGCCUGCUUGUUGUUGUUGUUUUUUUGGAUGUUGUGCUAAUGCUGUGUUUGUGUGCAUGUGUUAAGGGGAUGAUGGUUUGUCCAAAAUGUCCUUGGAGAUCAGAUCCAUGCAUCUUUCCUGUAAUGAAGCUCUACAGAGGGGGAAGGGGACAAGGACAUGUUGCAAGUCAUAAUCAAACCUGCGUUUCCCACAAGAGCACCAGGGCUAUGACGAAUGGGAUCUAAUACUAAGGUCAUUUUUGGCAGCUGUAGUGCGAACCUUCUUUGCAGCAAAGGAAUAAACAGAGAUUUCAGCCCAAAAUAAGUUGUGACAGAUAUGUCAGGACCUAAAAACCCUGCGG